GGACUACACGGGUUUCUAAUCCCGUUUGCUCCCCUGGCUUUCGCGCCUCAGCGUCAGAAAAGGUCCAGCACGUCGCUUUCGCCACCGGCGUUCCUUCCGAUAUCUACGCAUUUCACCGCUCCACCGGAAGUUCCACAUGCCCCUACCUCCCUCGAGAUCGGUGGUAUCCAGGGCCGUUCUCUCGUUAAGCGAGAGGAUUUCACCCCAGACGGACCGACCCGCCUACGCGCCCUUUAAGCCCAGUGAAUCCGAACAACGUUCGCACGGUUCGUCUUACCGCGGCUGCUGGCAC
rnacentral:rRNA from 3 species